UACGUAGGGGGCAAGCGUUGUCCGGAAUUAUUGGGCGUAAAGAGCGUGUAGGCGGUCCGGUAAGUCGGCUGUGAAAGUCCAGGGCUCAACCCUGGAAGGCCGGUGGAAACUGUCGGGCUAGAGUCCGGAAGAGGCGAGUGGAAUUCCCGGUGUAGCGGUGAAAUGCGCAGAUAUCGGGAGGAACACCAAUGGCGAAGGCAGCUCGCUGGGACGGUACUGACGCUGAGACGCGAAAGCGUGGGGAGCAAACAGG
rnacentral:rRNA from 1 species